UUUUCCAUUCUUCACGUUUCUUUCGUUUUCUAAACCUAAAUUUCUCAUCACUUUAAAUAAAACCUAGCCGCCAUUCUUCAAGUUUCUGAGAUCAUAAUAUUCAUCCCAACUCUAUUCGAUCCAAGUUUCGCUAUAAUCUGAAUUUUCUUCAACGAUUCACAUCAACUCAGCGAUCUCUAUAAUCGUUACGCUUCAGAAUCAUAUACGAAUUAUUUUAUCAUUACGCUCCUGUUAUCAUCGACUAGUCUGUGCCAUCCCAUCUUAGGAUCACCGAGCUCGUUUUCCUUCGAACGACUUGUCGACUGUUCGUACUUCAGAGGCGAACCAGAGUUAGAUUGCUUGUCAAGUUUCACGUGGAAUAGCAAGCAGUUUAUGAUUUGAACAUUUGUCGAUCUCCGUUUCUUCAUUCUCGGAGGUUUUUAUUUUAUUUUCAGAAUAAAAGAAUUGAACUGUUUUAAACUCUUUGACCGCAGUAGUAGUAUCAGCUACUCAUGUCUUAGUCUUUUAUUUAUAUUUUAGACUAUUGUUUGUUGGAUUGGUCCAACUAUUAUUUUAUCAGCUUGGGCAUGAUUACAGUAUUUAUGGAAUUUUAUAUAUUGCCAUGCUGUUAGAUAUUAUUUUGAAA